AUGCCUACGGGGGGCAGCAGUGAGGAAUAUUGGUCAAUGGGAGAGAUCCUGAACCAGCCAAGUCGCGUGAGGGAUGACGGCCCUACGGGUUGUAAACCUCUUUUGUCGGGGAGCAAAGAGAGUCACGUGUGGCUCAUUGGGAGUACCCGAAGAAAAAGCAUCGGCUAACUCCGUGCCAGCAGCCGCGGUAAUACGGAGGAUGCGAGCGUUAUCCGGAUUUAUUGGGUUUAAAGGGUGCGCAGGCGGAGGUGCAAGGCAGUGGUCAAAUUGCGGGGCUCAACCCCGUACUGCCGUUGAAACUGCAU
rnacentral:rRNA from 1 species